AUGUCCUUUACUAUUCAUGAAGAACAUUUUAUAGGAGUGUUAAAACAUAGUGUAGAAGAGCGUUAUGAUUAUUUCCCACAUAGUUUACCCUCAUCUUCGUCACUUCCAUAUUUCUGCCCAUGUUCUCUGCAGGGUUGUUCGAUGUGGAGGACUGGUUGUCACUGGUGUCUGGUGGAACAAGCCCCAAAUAAUCUAACCUUGACCCCUAGUGUGCAAGAGCCUAGAGUUGACAUAGAAGAGAGGAUAAGACGGCACUUGAUGCUCCCUCUUAACUAG
rnacentral:rRNA from 1 species